rnacentral:rRNA from 1 species
GAUGAACGCUGGCGGCGUGCCUAAUACAUGCAAGUCGAGCGAACGGACGAGAAGCUUGCUUCUCUGAUGUUAGCGGCGGACGGGUGAGUAACACGUGGAUAACCUACCUAUAAGACUGGGAUAACUUCGGGAAACCGGAGCUAAUACCGGAUAAUAUUUUGAACCGCAUGGUUCAAAAGUGAAAGACGGUCUUGCUGUCACUUAUAGAUGGAUCCGCGCUGCAUUAGCUAGUUGGUAAGGUAACGGCUUACCAAGGCAACGAUGCAUAGCCGACCUGAGAGGGUGAUCGGCCACACUGGAACUGAGACACGGUCCAGACUCCUACGGGAGGCAGCAGUAGGGAAUCUUCCGCAAUGGGCGAAAGCCUGACGGAGCAACGCCGCGUGAGUGAUGAAGGUCUUCGGAUCGUAAAACUCUGUUAUUAGGGAAGAACAUAUGUGUAAGUAACUGUGCACAUCUUGACGGUACCUAAUCAGAAAGCCACGGCUAACUACGUGCCAGCAGCCGCGGUAAUACGUAGGUGGCAAGCGUUAUCCGGAAUUAUUGGGCGUAAAGCGCGCGUAGGCGGUUUUUUAAGUCUGAUGUGAAAGCCCACGGCUCAACCGUGGAGGGUCAUUGGAAACUGGAAAACUUGAGUGCAGAAGAGGAAAGUGGAAUUCCAUGUGUAGCGGUGAAAUGCGCAGAGAUAUGGAGGAACACCAGUGGCGAAGGCGACUUUCUGGUCUGUAACUGACGCUGAUGUGCGAAAGCGUGGGGAUCAAACAGGAUUAGAUACCCUGGUAGUCCACGCCGUAAACGAUGAGUGCUAAGUGUUAGGGGGUUUCCGCCCCUUAGUGCUGCAGCUAACGCAUUAAGCACUCCGCCUGGGGAGUACGACCGCAAGGUUGAAACCCAAAGGAAUUGACGGGGACCCGCACAAGCGGUGGAGCAUGUGGUUUAAUUCGAAGCAACGCGAAGAACCUUACCAAAUCUUGACAUCCUUUGACAACUCUAGAGAUAGAGCCUUCCCCUUCGGGGGACAAAGUGACAGGUGGUGCAUGGUUGUCGUCAGCUCGUGUCGUGAGAUGUUGGGUUAAGUCCCGCAACGAGCGCAACCCUUAAGCUUAGUUGCCAUCAUUAAGUUGGGCACUCUAAGUUGACUGCCGGUGACAAACCGGAGGAAGGUGGGGAUGACGUCAAAUCAUCAUGCCCCUUAUGAUUUGGGCUACACACGUGCUACAAUGGACAAUACAAAGGGCAGCGAAACCGCGAGGUCAAGCAAAUCCCAUAAAGUUGUUCUCAGUUCGGAUUGUAGUCUGCAACUCGACUACAUGAAGCUGGAAUCGCUAGUAAUCGUAGAUCAGCAUGCUACGGUGAAUACGUUCCCGGGUCU